rnacentral:rRNA from 2 species
GUUGGGUAGGGGAGCGUUCUGUAAGCCUGCGAAGGUGGCCUGUGAGGGUUGCUGGAGGUAUCAGAAGUGCGAAUGCUGACAUAAGUAACGAUAAAGCGGGUGAAAAGCCCGCUCGCCGGAAGACCAAGGGUUCCUGUCCAACGUUAAUCGGGGCAGGGUGAGUCGACCCCUAAGGCGAGGCCGAAAGGCGUAGUCGAUGGGAAACGGGUUAAUAUUCCCGUACUUGGUGUUACUGCGAAGGGGGGACGGAGAAGGCUAUGUUGGCCGGGCGACGGUUGUCCCGGUUUAAGCGUGUAGGUGUGUGUUCCAGGUAAAUCCGGUUCACUUUAACACUGAGGCGUGAUGACGAGGCACUACGGUGCUGAAGCAACAAAUGCCCUGCUUCCAGGAAAAGCCUCUAAGCAUCAGGUAACAUCAAAUCGUACCCCAAACCGACACAGGUGGUCAGGUAGAGAAUACCAAGGCGCUUGAGAGAACUCGGGUGAAGGAACUAGGCAAAAUGGUGCCGUAACUUCGGGAGAAGGCACGCUGACACGUAGGUGAAGUGAUUUACUCAUGGAGCUGAAGUCAGUCGAAGAUACCAGCUGGCUGCAACUGUUUAUUAAAAACACAGCACUGUGCAAACACGAAAGUGGACGUAUACGGUGUGACGCCUGCCCGGUGCCGGAAGGUUAAUUGAUGGGGUCAGCGCAAGCGAAGCUCCUGAUCGAAGCCCCGGUAAACGGCGGCCGUAACUAUAACGGUCCUAAGGUAGCGAAAUUCCUUGUCGGGUAAGUUCCGACCUGCACGAAUGGCGUAAUGAUGGCCAGGCUGUCUCCACCCGAGACUCAGUGAAAUUGAACUCGCUGUGAAGAUGCAGUGUACCCGCGGCAAGACGGAAAGACCCCGUGAACCUUUACUAUAGCUUGACACUGAACAUUGAGCCUUGAUGUGUAGGAUAGGUGGGAGGCUUUGAAGCGUGGACGCCAGUCUGCGUGGAGCCGACCUUGAAAUACCACCCUUUAAUGUUUGAUGUUCUAACGUGGACCCGUAAUCCGGGUUGCGGACAGUGUCUGGUGGGUAGUUUGACUGGGGCGGUCUCCUCCUAAAGAGUAACGGAGGAGCACGAAGGUUGGCUAAUCCUGGUCGGACAUCAGGAGGUUAGUGCAAUGGCAUAAGCCAGCUUGACUGCGAGCGUGACGGCGCGAGCAGGUGCGAAAGCAGGUCAUAGUGAUCCGGUGGUUCUGAAUGGAAGGGCCAUCGCUCAACGGAUAAAAGGUACUCCGGGGAUAACAGGCUGAUACCGCCCAAGAGUUCAUAUCGACGGCGGUGUUUGGCACCUCGAUGUCGGCUCAUCACAUCCUGGGGCUGAAGUAGGUCCCAAGGGUAUGGCUGUUCGCCAUUUAAAGUGGUACGCGAGCUGGGUUUAGAACGUCGUGAGACAGUUCGGUCCCUAUCUGCCGUGGGCGCUGGAGAACUGAGGGGGGCUGCUCCUAGUACGAGAGGACCGGAGUGGACGCAUCACUGGUGUUCGGGUUGUCAUGCCAAUGGCACUGCCCGGUAGCUAAAUGCGGAAGAGAUAAGUGCUGAAAGCAUCUAAGCACGAAACUUGCCCCGAGAUGAGUUCUCCCUGAGACUU